GGGGAUUUAGCUCAGUGGCAUAAGCACCUGCCUUACAAGCAGGCGGUUGUGAGUUCGAUCCCCG
rnacentral:tRNA from 1 species